CCUACGGGAGGCAGCAGUAGGGAAUCUUCGACAAUGGACGAAAGCCUGACCGAGCAACGCCGCGUGAGUGAAGAAGGCUUUCGGAUCGUAAAGCUCUGUUGCUAGGGAAGAAAGACAGCAUCAGUAAAUGAUUGCUACCUGAUGGUUCCCCUCCAGAACGUCACGGCUAACUACGUUCCAGCAGCCGCGGUAAUACGUAGGUGGCGAGCGUUGUCCGGAAUGAUUGGGCGUAAAGGGUGCGCAGGCGGUCUUGGAAGUCUGAAGUGAAAGGCAUGGGGUCAACCCAGGGAAGGCUUUGGAAACUGGAGGACUUGAGUGCAGGAGAGGAGGGUGGAAUUCCAUGUGUAGCGGUAAAAUGCGUAGAUAUAUGGAAGAACACCAGUGGCGAAGGCGGCUGUCUGGCCUGUAGCUGACGCUGAGGCACGAAAGCGUGGGGAGCAAACAGGAUUAGAUACCCUUGUAGUC
rnacentral:rRNA from 1 species